GCGCUGCCUCCCUCGUCGGGGCCGAGACGUCAGUGCGCACGCGCGGCUGAUUUCAAAUCCUCACUAGACACCGCCGCCUUGGUUACCGCGCCUGCGCACGAGGGCGCUCCUCCGUGAGGGUGGGGAGAGCAACGCAUCGGAAGGAGACGCGACUGGGAGGGGCUGAAGGGGCGGUGGCGGCGGUGGCGUGGGUCUCCCUAGACUAGACUUGGCUGCGGUGAGCGAGGGAGAAACGAGGAGGUCGCUUCGUCGCCUUUGGCAGGGCUACGUCUGCCGGCCCCACCUCCCGCCGCCGCGAGAAGGCCGAGGCGUGGAGACAUGCGCGCUGUGCCCGGGGUCCCCGGCAGCCGCCCGGUCACGUUGCGCGUGCGCAAGGACGAGACGCCGCCGCCGCCGCCUCCGCCGCCGCGGCUGGGUGGAAGUUUCCGCGCCGCCGGGCGGGGUCGGGGAUCCCGCCCCGUGCCAUGCCCUGAGGCUGCCCGCUGGCCGUGCGUGUGGGCCAGGCCAGCAAGGACCGCGGAUAGGCCGCUCUUUUAGAGAAAGGACAAAAAUGCCCCGAGUCCCGUCCCGUGCAUCCUCAGGCGCCCGUGUGCAGCCGGUCACGCUGCGGUCACUCGUGCCCGCCCACGUGUUCGCCGGCGGCCUGGGCAGCACUGCCUGCUAAGUCGCCGCCCCGGAGCAGGACUCUCCUUGGCGGGGUUUUUUUUUUUUUUUGUUUUGUUUUUUUUAAGGCUUUUCUGUUUCCUUUUAAAAAUGAUUUUCUAUGAAGAAAAUGAAGUUAAAACUUGCAAGCUAGCUCGCUGGUGCGAUUCCCCGAGGCCGACUUGGCAGUGCCUCCUGCGUGCUUGGGUGUCUGGCCUCUAGGCCGGCACUGGGUUGGCAGGAUUCCGUAGAGGUCCUGUCCGCUGUGCGAGUCCCGGGUGCCCGAGGAUGCUCUAAGCCCGGUGUGACAAUGGUAUUGUUUGGAAUGUGACGCUAACCACACGUUUUGUGAAGUCCAAGGCAAACGCCAGAGUGUCAUUAUGUAAGUCUGCGUGUAGCCACUGGAGCCCGGCCAGCGCGGACACCAUGGCCCUUCCAGAGCCCCCCACACCCCCUGCGCCAGAUCUGGCCCCCGCCCAGAGGAUGCAAGCCCUGGCCGGGCAACUUCCAGGAAGCGCAGCGCUUGGGCUGCAUUCCUUUGAAACAUAUUGAAACAAGGCCUUUUCAACAUGCUCUCCUGCCUGGCCUCUGCCAUAGAGGAAAAGGCUGCCAGGACACUACACUCGUGGGAAAGCCUUCUGGAUGAAUAAAGAGAGACAUAGCAGGGGGACACUCCCUGCUUUACCCCUGGACAGGGUUGCAUCCGCAGAGGACGCCUGGGACAGCUGCAGCCACCUUGAGGCCAGAGGAGAGAUGUGACCACCACCCCAGGAACCAGGCCGAACGAGGGAAAGACAGCCUGGACCGUGCCACCAGGCAGCAGAACGAGCUCCACCAUGGGCCCCCUGCAGAUCCCUGGCAUCGGAAGCGCUAGGCUCUCUGGUGACUUGUACCAUUUUCUGGACACCUCUCACUGCCACUUGCUACGGACAGCACCUUAAAGCAGCAGCCAAUUCAGAAAGCGCCAACGCAGCAUGGAAAGUGGACAGUAGGAGGCGAGUUGUGUCUGGCUGGUGAGUAAUCUCCGAUCCCCAGAAAGCACGUGAUACGAUGGGGUGGCCGGGCAGUGCUGUGCGCGUUCACAGAGACAGGCUUCCUUCGGAGAGCGACGUUCCUGCCCAGGUGGCUGCUGAGAUUUUUGAGUUUCAAGCACCAUUGUCGCUCGUGAAAGGAAAUCUUGGGAAUGAAUUUUUUGGCAAAAUGAUCAUCCUCUUAUCCUUAAUUAAGGAAAGUUGCAAACUUCGACAACAAGUGGAGAGCCCAUACGUAUUGAACUCCCGUGUGCUCCUUACCCAGCUUCAGUAACUCCAAGUCAAGGUCACACUUGUUCACCAGUGUCCUCACCUGCUUUCUCCUUCUCCAAUUAUUUUGAAGCCAAUCCCAGAUAAUAUUUCAUCUCACCCAUAAAUAAUUCAGUAUGCAGGGGAGUGCCUUUGUGGCUCAGUCAGUUGAGCGUCCAGCUUCGACUCAGGUCAUGUUCCCGUGGCUUGUGAGUUCGAGCCCCACAUCGGGCUCACUGCUGUCAGCACACAGCCCACCUUGGAUCCUGUCUCCCUCUCUCUCUGCCCCUCCCCCAUGCUUGCUCUCAUUCUCUCGCUCUCGGAAAUAAAAACAUUAAAAAAUAAUAAUUCAGUAUGCAUCACUAACUUAUAGUCAUACGCGUUUUGAAACAUAAGUACGAUAUUAUCAUAUCAAAGCAUGAAUGAUGUUUUACUUAAUAUCACCAAACAUCUGAUCUAUAAUAAAUAUUUUUGAUUAUCAUAAAAUGUGUUAUUGAUAUCUCAAAAAAGAGGUCUAUAAAUUGCAAUUCAUUGAUUUGUGUCUUCUAAUGCUUUUAAUCUAUGGUUUCUCCUAUCUUUUGGGGGGGCGGGGGGGCAAUCUGUUGUUGAAGAACAAAUGGUUCGUUUGUUCCCACAGUCUGGAUUUUGCCAAUCAUAUCUCCCUGUGGUAUCAUUUAACACGUUUCCUGUCAUCUGUAUUUUUGUAAACUGGCCGUUGAAUCUAAGGUCUUGAUCGAAUUCGGGUUCUGUCUUUUAUCGGCAAGACAACUGCAGAAGUGAUGCUGUGUCUCACCUGGAGGCCUACGGCAUCUGGUGCUGUCUUUGGUGAUGUGAGCAUGAGCCCCUUUGCUGAGCACUGCCCCAAGCCCUGCUCCUCUGUCUCUGCAGUAGGAACCAUCCCCUUUCAACAGCAUGGGAUCCCAGGACUGCCACUCUCCCGGGAUUUGAGAAACCAAUGCCCUGCAGAUGGUCAGGUCAGUCUCCUGUCUUUCCAGAUGAGGAGUCUGAGGCUUGCCUGCAAAAAAGGCCCAAUAGGGACGAUUAGAGUUGGGGGCUCAGCAGAGCAAGUUGUACUAAUUAGACCUCAUAAAAAUUAACUUUGUUAUGUCACGCGGAGUAUGACAUAAUCGAAUGUGCAAGGAUCGGGGAAAUAGUCUGUUAGGGAAUCUAGAAACAGGGAGCCCCAAAUUAUGCCUUGACUCUCUUGGACCAAGAAGACACUCCCUGACCGUGGUGGGCACAACAGAAGGUGGGCUCUGUAGGAGGGGGAAGGUGUCAAAGGGCCCCACCUAAAGAAAAGGCGGGGAGUAACUAUGUGAGAAGGUGGAUACGUUAAUUAGCUUCACUGUAGUAAUCGUGUUACUGUGUGUAUCAGAUCACCAUGUUGUAUACCUUAAAUACAAACAAUCUAUUAAACUAAUAUAAAGGAGAUUGAAUUUUUUUUAAUUCUCAUAAAUUAAAGCAUAUUUUUAAAAGAUUGGUUUGAGAAAGCAGAAAAUGCAUAUUUCAAAAUGCUUCAGGAUUAAUAUUAAGUGGGUAUAGAGUAGAGAAUAUUAGAAGUUUGUCAACGCAGAACGUCCUCUGUAGUAUCAGUUGGUGUGGAAAGUCCUGUUCCCUCAGAGUGUAAGAUAAAUGAUGUAUUAUGUAUGGUGUCUAUUUUAAACAUCUCAAUGAUAAAAAAUAAAGACUAAAUUAGUGGUAAA